GUCGUGCCUGCGUGCUGGUGUACCGGCUCACCCGGCUUCAAAAUUCACCUCUAGUCCCUGAGUCAGCUGCUUCUCUGGUUCAGGUGCUCCUUUGGUUUUUAAACCUUCCUAAGCAGGGUGCUUAGGCACAUUCUGUGGGCUUGAGGUCUAUGCAGUCGCUCGGACUGUGUAAUAUCGUUGUUUAAAGACAUAAAAAACUGUGAAAUAUUGUCAGUUUGGAGAGCUGUGCUGUCAGCUUGCCUCUCCUUUAUCCCUUUUCCUACUGCUGUCAGCUUCACCGGUAUACAGCCAGUGCCUGAGUAAAAUGCAUGAAGAUGCAGUGGUACUCAACUUUGUUGAAUCAAGAACACGCUUGUGGAAAAAAUGCCCUUUGCUCACCAGUUUCUCUAAACCAGAUUUGGGAGGCAGCCACAGAGAAUACAGAGAACACAACUCUUGCACUCAGAGACCUUUGAGUGUUAGUCUGUGUAUGGAGAAACAUCUCAUAGGACUGGUGCAGCUAUGCCUGAAACAGAUCCGCAUGCAGCUCUGGGAAAUUCCAUUAGAAACAGGGCAAUAAAUUGGAACAUGUUCAGAAAAAACAAGGCCACCAAUUCAGCCAGCCAAAAAGAUCAACUUGCGAUGGAAAAGGUCCCAAGCGCUUGUGCUUAGCGUUAUCUCUGUGCGUACAGCAGUGAAUGACAGUGAAUGAGAACUUCAUUGGAGUCAAGCACAGGAUUCACUAAUCUGGGAGAGGAUGGGACUUCAUCUGACAAAUUCACCGGAUCAUUUAUUAAAAAUAAGAGAUAAAAUAAAUCAUACCACUGGAAUUGAGAUAGCAUAAGUUCAGACUGAAAACAAAAUGUAUCAGUAGAUAAAAUGAAUGGAAGUACUUCACACUGGAUAGCACAAGUUAGGACACAUAAUUUCAUCUGUUUAAUACAGAGCAUUGAUCUGUCUGGGCCUUGUUUUGGAAACAGAGAAACUUCUAAUAUACUUCAAACAAGAUAUUUCCAAAAACUUUUCUUCACGUGUAAAAAUCUUCCCAAAUAAGUCAGUACAUUGCAGACACUGGACUAGAGAGACAGUAGCAGCACAGUGGUGCUUUGUGCUACUUGCACAUGCACAUGAUUAGGCAGGCAAUGGAUAACAAGCUACAGAAACAAAGGAACUCAUCUUAUGCUCCUCCCCUCUGGGGAAAAGAUAAACCCCAGAAGGACAUAAAGCUGAGCAAGUAAACAGCUUGAGCCAGGCAAUAAUAAAACUUGACAUCCCAUUAAUGGCAACAGAGGCUGGAUCUGUUGAGAGACUGACCAAAUGUUUUGCUGCAGAAAACAGCCUAGUGUCUUCAACAUUUUCUUUAUAAUAAUGAUGAAUGCCUAUCAUUCAAAAUAAAACCAAUCACAGUCACUAAUAAAGUCUCGUUUUAAAACUUACUGCUGACUUUUAUUGUAACACUUAUUUCAGAACAUUAUUACACUAGGAUAUAACAGCCACCUUCUCUUCAACCACCAAGCUCAAAAGUCAUCUUUGAAGCUGGCUCCCAAGUUCUCACCAUGCAGUUGGUUACAGCAUCAGGCACAGCCUGUCAGCUCUCAGGGCCCGGGGGGGAGUCUGAAAGAGCCAAAAUGCCCAGCACACUCCACAGCAGCUCUGUGUAAAAGCUCUAUGCACACCAGACUGCACUUGUCCAAAGCACUUUGUUAGCUCACCUAGUCUUGAAGGCUAUCUCAAUAUUUUCUUUGUUAAUAAGAAUUCCUGACCACGUCUUGCAUAGGUUGUAAAACCUACUGUGAUACUUUGCUUUCAUGACUGACCAAACCCUCCAUUUGCAGGGUAGAGUGAAAACUGCAGUGAUCUGUCA